rnacentral:rRNA from 1 species
AUUGAACGCUGGCGGCAGGCCUAACACAUGCAAGUCGAACGAGUGGCGGACGGGUGAGUAAUGUCUGGGAAACUGCCCGAUGGAGGGGGAUAACUACUGGAAACGGUAGCUAAUACCGCAUACCAUCGGAUGUGCCCAGAUGGGAUUAGCUUGUAGGUGAGGUAACGGCUCACCUAGGCGACGAUCCCUAGCUGGUCUGAGAGGAUGAUCAGCCACACUGGGACUGAGACACGGUCAAGAUGCUGACGGGAGGCAGCAGUGGGGAAUAUUGCACAAUGGGGGCAAGCCGGAUGCAGCCAUGCCGCGUGUAUGAAGAAGUCCUUCGGGUGGUAAAGUACUUUCAGCGGUGAGGCGUUACCCGCAGAAGAAGCACCGGCGAACUCCGGGCCAGCAGCCGCGGGAAUAC